UGAGGACUCUCGGCCGGCUGCCU
rnacentral:piRNA from 1 species